GUAUAUUAGCCCCGCCCCCUUUAUUAUAGCGCGUAUGCCCCGCCCCCUCUCUCUCUCCUUCGUAUGUUAUCCUGUGAGCCGAUCUCUCUCCAGAAGGGGUUUACUACGAAGCUGGAUUUGCGGUUAUUGAGGCCUCUCAUUGGACUGAACUCCAGACUGGGAGGUGUUGAGGUGUGUCAGCAGACUCUCAGCACAUCCAGCUGGUAGGAGACCAAGCAGGGGACCCAAAACUCUCUGAGGGACCAUGUAAACCAUCUGGUCUGGGGAUAGGGACGGAUCCCCAAGAGGGUUUGGUAAACAUGCUGGGAGAGACUGCCUUCCUUUCGUCCCUACCACCACAGAAUCAGGGACCAUGAGUCAUCCACAUCAUUAGACGAUGAUCUCUGCUCAGAGUUUCAUGUUUAUCCAUCAAACUGUUGAUGUUUCAGUCCGCACCGAACAGACUGACGGACCGGACCGUCCAGUGAGCCACAGCAUGGCCAACAAGAGCUGCAGGGACGGUCCUGAAGGUCAGGGUUCAUGCCUUCCCUCCCAUUAUACAGCCCAUAGUUGUUCCCUCGCUCCACAUAUGGACUGAUGUCUCCAAACAGAGCCACAUUCUCUUCGUGUGUCAGAGAUAUUCAUCAACUUAAAGAAUCGUAGAGAUCUGACGACUCGUGGAGGCAGUAUUAAUGUUCUUUUCUUUAAGAUUAAAGUGGUUUUCACAAACGGCUGCUAUCAAACCUUUUAAAAACCCACCUCUCAUGAUUAGAGCUUGGCUAGCAUGUCGAUGCCGUUUUAGGGAAUGGUUCAACCUUUAGUAAAUGUACCUCUUGAUCUCUCUGUGAGGCGUGAUCGUACCAUGUAUGUGUGUUUAGAGAGGCUAAGUUAGCAGUUGUUUAGCUUAGCUUAGCUUAUUAGCUAACUGUGUAAAAUACUUGAUUCUGAUUGGUCAUAACACGAUAACAUCAUUGAUUAGUUCUCAACAUGAAAAGCAGAAUCACUAUCAGAACAAUCUGUGUAAAGUAGUCUGUCUCAUUCCCCCUCUGCCUGUUGAC